rnacentral:rRNA from 1 species
CGUAGCCGACCUGAGAGGUGAUCGGCCACACGGAACUGAGACACGGUCCAGACUCCUACGGGAGGCAGCAGUAGGGAAUCUUCCGCAAUGGGCGAAAGCCUGACGGAGCAACGCCGCGUGAGUGAUGAAGGUCUUCGGAUCGUAAAACUCUGUUAUUAGGGAAGAACAAGUGCGUAGGUAACUAUGCGCACCUUGACGGUACCUAAUCAGAAAGCCACGGCUAACUACGUGCCAGCAGCCGCGGUAAUACGUAGGUGGCAAGCGUUAUCCGGAAUUAUUGGGCGUAAAGCGCGCGUAGGCGGUUUUUUAAGUCUGAUGUGAAAGCCCACGGCUCAACCGUGGAGGGUCAUUGGAAACUGGAAAACUUGAGUGCAGAAGAGGAAAGUGGAAUUCCAUGUGUAGCGGUGAAAUGCGCAGAGAUAUGGAGGAACACCAGUGGCGAAGGCGACUUUCUGGUCUGCAACUGACGCUGAUGUGCGAAAGCGUGGGGAUCAAACAGGAUUAGAUACCCUGGUAGUCCACGCCGUAAACGAUGAGUGCUAAGUGUUAGGGGGUUUCCGCCCCUUAGUGCUGCAGCUAACGCAUUAAGCACUCCGCCUGGGGAGUACGGCCGCAAGGCUGAAACUCAAAGGAAUUGACGGGGACCCGCACAAGCGGUGGAGCAUGUGGUUUAAUUCGAAGCAACGCGAAGAACCUUACCAAAUCUUGACAUCCUUUGACCGCUCUAGAGAUAGAGUCUUCCCCUUCGGGGGACAAAGUGACAGGUGGUGCAUGGUUGUCGUCAGCUCGUGUCGUGAGAUGUUGGGUUAAGUCCCGCAACGAGCGCAACCCUUAAGCUUAGUUGCCAGCAUUAAGUUGGGCACUCUAAGUUGACUGCCGGUGACAAACCGGAGGAAGGUGGGGAUGACGUCAAAUCAUCAUGCCCCUUAUGAUUUGGGCUACACACGUGCUACAAUGGACAGUACAAAGGGCAGCGAAACCGCGAGGUCAAGCAAAUCCCAUAAAGCUGUUCUCAGUUCGGAUUGUAGUCUGCAACUCGACUACAUGAAGCUGGAAUCGCUAGUAAUCGUAGAUCAGCAUGCUACGGUGAAUACGUUCCCGGGUCUUGUACACACCGCCCGUCACACCACGAGAGUUCGUAACACCCGAAGCCGGUGGAGUAACCUUUUAGGAGCUAGCCGUCGAAGG